rnacentral:lncRNA from 1 species
AAAGGCUAUGUAUUCUGAGCUCAUCUGGAUCAGAGGAGUCAGCACUGUCAUUUGUGUUUGGCAGAGACUGAAAGGUUAUUUGCAACUUACCUGGCUAAGCUGAACUCCAGAAUUUGGACUAGAGGCUUCAGGAUGCUGGUGCAGUUCAAGUCUGGUCCACAUGUCUCCUCCUCCUUCGAGGGUCAUUGACUACUUUGUGUAUCUUCUUUUCAUGACAGUUCAUAUGAGUGCAAGAUGGCUCGAUAGACUUGCACACAAGUUUAAAGAUUUUUGUAUACACCUCAUUCCAUUGUUAAAGCAAGUUGCAUGGUCAAAUCUAACAUCUCUGGACAAGGACAUGCAUUCAUACCACUCUACUGCACUGCAAGCUCACGCAGAGGAGCAGAUCAUAAAACGUGAUUGAUGCAUGAUGAUGAUAAUGACCAACCUACCAUCAUGGACAUGACCGUAUGUUGAUACUAAGCCUCUUAGUAAAAUGAGCUAAAGAAACCAGAACUAUCUGCCUUCAGCUCAGCUGUCUGAUCAAAAACUUGAAAUCUGGAAACAGUGGUAUCUGGAAAACCUACUAAAAGUGGCUUUGGGAAAAUAUCAAUUAAUGUCAAUUUCAUUAAUUAUUCAGGGAAAUCCAAUCCAGUAAGCUAAAAUAUGAACAUAUGUGAACAUGUCAAUAAGAUUAUCUUUACUUUUUGAGUUCCUUUUCAGGAUUUAGAAUAAUUUUGUUAAAG